UACACGAGCGGCGAACGGGUGAGUAACACGUGGGUGAUCUGCCCUGCACUUCGGGAUAAGCCUGGGAAACUGGGUCUAAUACCGGAUAUGACCUCAGGUUGCAUGACUUGGGGUGGAAAGAUUUAUCGGUGCAGGAUGGGCCCGCGGCCUAUCAGCUUGUUGGUGGGGUAAUGGCCUACCAAGGCGACGACGGGUAGCCGACCUGAGAGGGUGACCGGCCACACUGGGACUGAGACACGGCCCAGACUCCUACGGGAGGCAGCAGUGGGGAAUAUUGCACAAUGGGCGAAAGCCUGAUGCAGCGACGCCGCGUGAGGGAUGACGGCCUUCGGGUUGUAAACCUCUUUCAGCAGGGACGAAGCGCAAGUGACGGUACCUGCAGAAGAAGCACCGGCUAACUACGUGCCAGCAGCCGCGGUAAUACGUAGGGUGCAAGCGUUGUCCGGAAUUACUGGGCGUAAAGAGUUCGUAGGCGGUUUGUCGCGUCGUUUGUGAAAACCAGCAGCUCAACUGCUGGCUUGCAGGCGAUACGGGCAGACUUGAGUACUGCAGGGGAGACUGGAAUUCCUGGUGUAGCGGUGAAAUGCGCAGAUAUCACGAGGAACACCGGUGGCGAAAGCGGGUCUCUGGGCAGUAACUGACGCUGAGGAACGAAAGCGUGGGUAGCGAACAGGAUUAGAUACCCUGGUAGUCCACGCCGUAACGGUGGGCGCUAGGUGUGGGUUCCUUCCACGGAAUCCGUGCCGUAGCUAACGCAUUAAG
rnacentral:rRNA from 1 species